AACGAACGCUGGCGGCAGGCCUAACACAUGCAAGUCGAGCGCACUCUUCGGAGUGAGCGGCGGACGGGUUAGUAACGCGUGGGAACGUACCCUUUUCUGCGGAAUAGCCUCUGGAAACGGAGAGUAAUACCGCAUACGCCCUUUGGGGAAAGAAUUUCGGUGAAGGAUCGGCCCGCGUUAGAUUAGGUAGUUGGUGGGGUAACGGCCUACCAAGCCUACGAUCUAUAGCUGGUUUGAGAGGAUGAUCAGCAACACUGGGACUGAGACACGGCCCAGACUCCUACGGGAGGCAGCAGUGGGGAAUCUUCGGCAAUGGGCGCAAGCCUGACCGAGCCAUGCCGCGUGAGCGAUGAAGGCCUUAGGGUUGUAAAGCUCUUUCGCCAGGGAUGAUAAUGACAGUACCUGGUAAAGAAACCCCGGCUAACUCCGUGCCAGCCGCCGCCGUAAAA
rnacentral:rRNA from 1 species